AUUUGUCUACCUAAAAUGAAGAACUGGAAUGAAUGCCAACUAGAAAAAAAGGGAUGGACUGUGCUGAUUAUUCUGCAUUUACUAUUACCUUUAUGGAUCUGUUCUUUGCGCUGAUCUUUACCCCAGAACUACAUCACUUGGUAUCUCUUGCCCUCUGACAUUUUGCUGUUUUCAAUCAAUAAGAGGCAUUACUAUGGGAGAAAAGGAGUAAGAGGGCAAAGUUAUCAGGUACUUAUUUCUACCACACCUCAGCUCCCUCCUCCCAACCCAUGAUUUUGACAGUGGCCCUCCUCCUCUGUGUAAGUCCACUAAUGCUGGGCAGGCCAGUUGUCACAGCAAUAGUCAUCACUUAGUUUUGCUCUUACCACUCUCUACCAUUUCACAUGAGACUUUGGAGUAGUAAUGGCUCUCAUUGUUGGGGGCCCUUGAAUGCUUCACCAACCCUUUUUUGUUCUCUUAAUUUUGCCUACAUUUCCAUAAUUAUUCUCUUUUAUUAACUCAUCCAUUAACUUUCUAGUGUGCCUCUGUUUUCUACUAGCACCCUAACAGACUAAACUCAUGGUUGAUAAAUGUCUUUUGUUAUUCCCUACUGUCUCUGUCCCAGGAAUAGAAAUUAUCUUAAAAAAAAAAAAUCAAGAUUCCACCAGACACUACUGUGAAACAUGUCUGACCAGCAGUGUGGACUGCACAGCUAAAAAGGUUCCAAAAGAGAAGAUAUAGUCCCUGGAACAGAUUCUUUAAGGGAAUCUGGAUGUAUGCCUGCACCAUCAAUAACUGCUGAUCAACCGUUUCUUUUGCUACCUUCACAGAAGAGAUGAAGUUCCUGUCAUCUGAGGACAGACCUUGGCAUCAGGAAUGCCAAAAGUCCUGUCCCACCCCUAUUCAGUGGUAUCUUCUCCUGCCCAAAGAUAUACCUCUGCAACAUAACUUAAGGCUAAUAGUCGCAUCCUGUUCUGAAAAAGAGGAAACACUUGAAAUACCAUUCAGAGCUGAAAUUAAAUUUCCACCAGAAGGCUCAGGGCAUUCAAAAGCCAACACCAAAUAUGAACUAAAGUGGGUAAUCUCUAAGGACCUUUAUAGAAACAGCAUUUUUUACCAACCAUCAGACUGCCCUUGCUAUUAAUGGGACUCCAACAAAGUGCUGUAUUUCUGCUGAAUGGACUCUGACCUUACUCCAAAUGUCUGACUUCCCACAGCAUGUAUUUCAAUUCUUCUAAAUAAAGUUCUGUUCAGAAAUUCUACUUCUGGUAAU
rnacentral:lncRNA from 1 species